UACGUAGGGUGCAAGCGUUAAUCGGAAUUACUGGGCGUAAAGCGUGCGCAGGCGGUUUUGUAAGUCUGUCGUGAAAGCCCCGGGCUCAACCUGGGAAUUGUGAUGGAGACUGCAAGGCUUGAAUCUGGCAGAGGGGGGUAGAAUUCCACGUGUAGCAGUGAAAUGCGUAGAGAUGUGGAGGAACACCGAUGGCGAAGGCAGCCCCCUGGGUCAAGAUUGACGCUCAUGCACGAAAGCGUGGGGAGCAAACGGG
rnacentral:rRNA from 1 species